rnacentral:lncRNA from 1 species
AGCUCUAGCUCCCUUAGGAAGCAUUUUCGGACUAGGUGAAUUGGGUUAAAUUGUCUUAAAAUUAUCUGAGAAAUCUCCUGUCUUCGUUUGUCGGUAGAGUUUCUGGACACCCUGUAUAUGUCUACGAUGUAGACGCUUUUCCACCUUGUUGAUCUCUUUCGGAAACUAAUUUUGCUCAAGGUCCUCAAAAUAAAAUGAAGUUUCGACUAUGGCCCCCUAUUGCUCGUUGGAGAAGGAUAUCCUCCGAACCAUACGUUUAGGAACAGGAGACUACCUCUGGUGAAUACUGGUAAGUAGGUUCUUCCUCAGAAGGGCAUCGAACUGGUCAAAUUGAGCUGCAUAGUACAUGCCAAUUUGUGAUGUAUCGUUUCUCAGGUAACUAAUGUGAAUAAUUAAUAUCUUUAGCAUCUCACAAACCAGUCUCUUAACUUGUGGAUUAAUCUUCUUAGAUUGGUCUCAUCUUUUUCUUCAUUACUUUGGCUGCUUUCUUUUCCUCCGGUGUAUAGAAAAGGGCUCAUACCCUACCUUGUUUUUACCUUAAACUCUAGUAGGUCCUGUGGCCUCAGCGAAGGCCAAAAGUUUUCUAAUUGGUAGUUUACGAAAUCCAGGCCGUAGAAGAAUGUCAUGGUUUCUGAAUUUGAGAGAGUGGUUUGGCUGCACCACUAAUAAACUUUUUAGGUCAGCUGUAAACAAGGUCAGGAUAUCCUUGAUGAUUUCAAAUCUCCGAUAGGAGUAGCACAAGAAGAAGAAGUUUUAAGAACUCUUCUGGUUCAAACCUCGGUUCACCAGUGAAUACCUUCCUCACAUCACUUAGCACAUUACAAUGGCAUAGAAUGUUUAUGAAAGUAUCUUCUUCCAUUUCGCACUUUCUGCACCAUGGUUCAUUUACCUUACCUAGUUUGUAUAGGUGGUCUUAAACGGCAAUGCCCAGUCACCAUUUCAGUGACCGUUUUGAUCUCUCGUUUAUUGGGGUUCAUCAAAUUGUUCGAGAGUUUUUGAACAAUAUUCUUAAUAAUAUUUUUUAGUCUAGAGUUGCCCUUGAGUGGCUCUACAUUUCUUUUGAUGAUUCCUUAUCAGCCAUUUCUGAACCUCGUUUUUCGUAGCAUCUUUAAUAAUGCCAAAGGAAGGUUCGGGCCUACAAAGGUUUCUCUCGUGCCUUGUUUUGCCAACAGAUCUGCUCGUUCAUUUCCAUGUAUCCUUUCAUGAUCCGGCACCCAUAUUGAAGACACUUUAUUGCCAGGCUGUUGAGGAGAUCUUUGCAGUUAAUCAACACUUUUGAUUUGGCGAGUGGGUUCUGUACUGCCAGAAUGGCCGCUUGGCUAUCUGUGUUAAUGUUGAUUCUCUUUGAUUUGGGGGUCUCCAUCCAUGAUUUCAUAAAUGCAGGCCACCAAAGCAAAACCUUCACCCUGGAACACAGUUGUAUAUUGACCUAGGCUAUAAGAUUUUUGUUUUGUAGCUUUUUGUUCUCUAGGCUCUAGCUAGAUGGUAUAAUUGUGUUAAUCUUCUCAGUGAAGAUUAGUUCUGGUGUCAGGAUGGUCAUAAAGGCUACCGAAGAAAUAUACAGAGUGAGGCAGAUAAAAGUCCUAUUAGAAAUAUCUCUAGAACUGAAGGCAACAGAAUCAUGAAAAUUGGAAUAAAGGGGUUUUGAAGAGUGAUCUAUUCAAUGAAAAUAAUAUUUUCAUCUAUUUGCUACUUCCGGUCAUACCGGAAGUUGCCUAUAACUUCGUUUUUUUUAUAUAGGACAUCCUGUAUAUUUUUACAUUUUUGGAUUCUUCCCGAUGCCUUCUUUCUUAAAAUAUGGGGUUUUGUAAUAUUAUACAGGGUAAUUUAAAAGAUAAUUAUGUUUAUUUUCUUAAUUUCGUAGCAACAUUCACACCUCGUAGAAGUGUAUUAGUUUGACAUCGAAAACUCUAUUUAUGUUCAAAUGGUUUUUAAUAUAGUCUACUAUUGUUAAUAAUUGUUAGUAUAGCUAAUUUUUUAAUUUUACUAUACAGGGUUGGUCGAAACUCGGAAUGAGUCUUUUCUGAGUGUUCUUAAAUGGAACACCCUAUAUUUUAGUAUUGUAAGGAAAUUAUAUUUUAUGGUACUUUUUUAUUUCUUAAGCAUUCCCUAUACCUAACUGCUUUAGUUUGUGAGUCAAGCCAAAUAUUAAUUGCAACAAAAAAUACGUGAAAUUUUAGUAGGUUUGCUGUGAAAAUAUUCAAUCACAAACAAUUUUCGGAAAUAGAUACAUAUUAAUCUAGACUGAUUCUUAAAAUUAGCCAUAAUGGUUAAUCUAUCAAAAUACCUACGUAGUUAAGAUUGUUGGUGCGAUUAACAAUUAAGCACAAAUUAAAGCAUUUAGGUAUAGGGAAUGCUUAAGAAA